GAUGAACGCUGGCGGCGUGCUUAACACAUGCAAGCGAACGGGCUCAUAUUGAAACCUAGUGAUGUAUGAGUUAGUGGCGGACGGGUGAGUAACGCGUGGAGAACCUGCCGUAUACUGGGGGAUAACACUUAGAAAUAGGUGCUAAUACCGCAUAAGCGCACAGCUUCGCAUGAAGCAGUGUGAAAAACUCCGGUGGUAUACGAUGGAUCCGCGUCUGAUUAGCUGGUUGGCGGGGUAACAGCCCACCAAGGCGACGAUCAGUAGCCGGCCUGAGAGGGCGAACGGCCACAUUGGGACUGAGACACGGCCCAAACUCCUACGGGAGGCAGCAGUGGGAAUAUUGCACAAUGGGGGAAACCCUGAUGCAGCGACGCCGCGUGAGUGAAGAAGUAUUUCGGUAUGUAAAGCUCUAUCAGCAGGGAAGAAAAUGACGGUACCUGACUAAGAAGCCCCGGCUAACUACGUG
rnacentral:rRNA from 1 species